UCAGUGUUUUCAUCUCACAGUUGAGCACUG
rnacentral:piRNA from 1 species